AUUUUAUUGAAACUAGUGAAAGGACUUCUUUUAGUCACCAGUACUAACAAACAGACACCAUUUUUCUUCCUCAUUACAUUCUGACUAUCAUUUAGGACUAGCAAAGUAACAGAAAGGAAAGUUCUUGGUACAAAGUAGAAUUUAAGAGCAUAUCAAAUAUGAAAGACGGGUGAAUUAAAAUUAACAAAAGGAAAGCUACUAUUGCCAGACAGUUUUCCCCCCAGGAUGUAACAGUAAGCUUUUGGUAGCAUAUUCUGUUUUUUCUUAGCUGAACUAGAGGUCCUGUUCCUCCAGUGUUUCUAUCAUGGACUCAUAAAUCAACUGUAGGAAUAUAGGACUCCUGGCGGUUGCAAAGGCGUCUUUUUCUUAGGCUGAGGUUAGGAAGGAGCGUUUGUUUGGUUCUCUAAUACACCUGGUGCUUGCAGCAACAUCUUCUUCUGAGGCUGAGCGGAGGAAGAAAUGUUUGUUUGGUCCUCCAAUACACCUGGUCCUUGCACGGACAUCUUCUUAGGCUGAGGUGAGGAAGGAAUGUUUGUUUGGUCCUCCAGUACACCUGGUGCUUGCAGAGGCAUGUUCUUAGGCUGAGGCGAGGUAGGAAUGUUUCUUUUGUCCUCCGUUACGUUAGAAGGUGCAUAGCUCUGAGUUACGUUAGAAGGUGCAUAGCUCUGAGUUACAUUAGAAGGUGCAUUGCUCUGAGUCUUGCAAUCGCCUCCUAUAGGCUUUCCUUCAUUUUGGUGGGUUGAAUUGGAAAAUAGAGGUGGAGCAUACGGAACUUGUUCCCCCUUUGGCUUUUUCUUGGAGGAAAGAGAAUCUUCUUUAUCUUUUCCUUCCGACGGUGCUGCAAAUGGUUUAGGCCUUGCAAAUCCAGAGUGAUAUGGUUCGUGAUCAGGUUGUUUAGGUUCAGAGGUUUCAGGUUUGGGAAAAUUAUUCAUUGCAGAAUUCCCUUUAAACCAAGGAAAACAUCCCAUACUUUUGUUGAUAAUAGAUGUAUGCUUGUUUACUCUUCUUCUUUCUCCUUGUCUUCCUUUGGAUUUUACUUCCUCAAUCCCUUAGGCUCCUCCGUCCUUCUUCCUAACAUCUACUCCUCUAUCUUUUGAUCUCCUCUCUAUUUCGGCAGUAGCUCUAUACUGGUCUACUACUAUAUCUAUACUCUCUUUAAACUGCACUCUCUAUAUGAGACUUUGACCAUCAAGAUAGCGAAUAGCGUGGAAAUAAAGCAUAGAU
rnacentral:lncRNA from 1 species